rnacentral:sRNA from 1 species
AUGGACCACGCGCCCACUCCGGUUCCUGGGCGCCGACCUGACGACCCGCUCGCUACGUUGUGGUAGCC